rnacentral:rRNA from 1 species
GGGUUGUGAGGUUAAGCGACUAAGCGUACACGGUGGAUGCCCUGGCAGUCAGAGGCGAUGAAGGACGUGCUAAUCUGCGAUAAGCGUCGGUAAGGUGAUAUGAACCGUUAUAACCGGCGAUUUCCGAAUGGGGAAACCCAGUGUGUUUCGACACACUAUCAUUAACUGAAUCCAUAGGUUAAUGAGGCGAACCGGGGGAACUGAAACAUCUAAGUACCCCGAGGAAAAGAAAUCAACCGAGAUUCCCCCAGUAGCGGCGAGCGAACGGGGAGCAGCCCAGAGCCUGAAUCAGUGUGUGUGUUAGUGGAAGCGUCUGGAAAGGCGCGCGAUACAGGGUGACAGCCCCGUACACAAAAAUGCACAUGCUGUGAGCUCGAUGAGUAGGGCGGGACACGUGGUAUCCUGUCUGAAUAUGGGGGGACCAUCCUCCAAGGCUAAAUACUCCUGACUGACCGAUAGUGAACCAGUACCGUGAGGGAAAGGCGAAAAGAACCCCGGCGAGGGGAGUGAAAAAGAACCUGAAACCGUGUACGUACAAGCAGUGGGAGCACGCUUAGGCGUGUGACUGCGUACCUUUUGUAUAAUGGGUCAGCGACUUAUAUUCUGUAGCAAGGUUAACCGAAUAGGGGAGCCGAAGGGAAACCGAGUCUUAACUGGGCGUUAAGUUGCAGGGUAUAGACCCGAAACCCGGUGAUCUAGCCAUGGGCAGGUUGAAGGUUGGGUAACACUAACUGGAGGACCGAACCGACUAAUGUUGAAAAAUUAGCGGAUGACUUGUGGCUGGGGGUGAAAGGCCAAUCAAACCGGGAGAUAGCUGGUUCUCCCCGAAAGCUAUUUAGGUAGCGCCUCGUGAAUUCAUCUCCGGGGGUAGAGCACUGUUUCGGCAAGGGGGUCAUCCCGACUUACCAACCCGAUGCAAACUGCGAAUACCGGAGAAUGUUAUCACGGGAGACACACGGCGGGUGCUAACGUCCGUCGUGAAGAGGGAAACAACCCAGACCGCCAGCUAAGGUCCCAAAGUCAUGGUUAAGUGGGAAACGAUGUGGGAAGGCCCAGACAGCCAGGAUGUUGGCUUAGAAGCAGCCAUCAUUUAAAGAAAGCGUAAUAGCUCACUGGUCGAGUCGGCCUGCGCGGAAGAUGUAACGGGGCUAAACCAUGCACCGAAGCUGCGGCAGCGACGCUGAUGCGUUGUUGGGUAGGGGAGCGUUCUGUAAGCCUGUGAAGGUGUGCUGUGAGGCAUGCUGGAGGUAUCAGAAGUGCGAAUGCUGACAUAAGUAACGAUAAAGCGGGUGAAAAG